rnacentral:lncRNA from 1 species
UUUACUUAGCGAGAUGCCUAUAAAUUGGGACACUCAAUGAGAUACUCGCACGUAAAUUUCCAUAAAGCUAAAGUAUUAGUCUUUGGCAUGGCUUUGCUUAAGCUUAGUUUCGUUAUUACUAUUCUCAUUGUGGCAGUUACUAGUGAGCAUCCAUCUCUAUAUAUCUCUUCAUUGUGCUUGUACUUUAUGUUUUUUUUAAUAACAAAUACAUAUAUAGGUGACUUUUCGCACAUAUUUCAUACGAAUCCAUGUAUUAAAAUGCAUGCAUUUGCUUCAUUAUAUGAUGUUUAAGUGUGAAUUUUUCAUAUUAUGAUGGUAAUUAUUUGAUUAUGAUGUGUAUGGUGGUGAAAUAUUUCAGUCAGUAUGCCCUGGAUCGCAAAGAAACAUGUUGUAGCUACAUCGGAUGUUGAUCAUAUUCUCUCAGGACUGAAGAGGAGAAUGCUCCCACAAGUUAAUACUUGCAGUAGAUCUUGUACUUCAGACACUGAUUGCAAUGAUUGUUGGGUCUGUUGUGCUUGUCGAUACAGUACCUUUUGGCUUCGACACGUGUGUGUAGUGCAGUAACGUCCAGUGAAAGUGAACUCACUACAAAUUAUUACUAUUAUGUAUUAGUGUGUCGUCAUGUGAUUUCAGUAUUUGUUUGGGUUUUCUUAUUUCCACGUCUUUUAUAUUUUGUAAAAGUAAUAAGAAAAAGUCAUAAAUGACUUUCAAUUCAGAAAUAAUAAUCCACUAUGCUUUAAAAGAUGGUUGGAUUUACUUUGUAGUAGUUGUAUCACUAAUCAUCCAUUUACUAAAUUUAUUUAUAAGUUUAUCGUUUAU